rnacentral:rRNA from 1 species
GAUGAACGCUAGCGGCAGGCUUAAUACAUGCAAGUCGAGGGACAGCACAGGUAGCAAUACUGGGUAGUAACCGGCAAACGGGUGCGGAACACGUACACAAACUUCCUUUAAGUGGGGUAUAGCACAGAGGAAUUUGGAUUAAUACCCCGUAAUAUAGUUUGAUGGCAUCAUCGGACUAUUAUAGCUACGGCGCUUAAAGAUGGGUGUGCGGCGGAUUAGAUAGUUGGCGGGGUAACGGCACACCAAGUCUACGAUCAGUAGCGGAUGUGAGAGCAUGAGCAGACACACGGGCACUGCGACACGGGCCAGACUCCUACGGGAGGCAGCAGUAAGGAAUAUUGGUCAAUGGACGCAAGUCUGAACCAGCCAUGCCGCGUGAAGGAUUAAGGUCAUCUGGAUUGUAAACUUCUUUUAUUUGGGACGAAAAAGGGUCUUUCUAGACCAACUGACGGUACCAGAUGAAUAAGCACCGGCUAACUCCGUGCCAGCAGCCGCAGUAACAC